UCAUUUUCACACGAUGAACAACUGGCUUAGAACUGAUUCGGGCAAGGGGAAUCCGACUGUUUAAUUGAAACAAAGCAUUGCGAGGGCCUCARAGGGUGGUGCCACAAUGUGAUUUCUGCCCAGUGCUCUGAAUGUCAAAGUGAGGAAAUUCAACUAAGCGCGGGUAAACGGCGGGAGUAACUAUGACUCUCUUAAGGUAGCCAAAUGCCUCGUCAUCCAAUUAAGUGACGCGCAUGAAUGGAUUAAUGAGAUUCCCACUGUCCCCAUCUACUGUCCAGCGAAACCACAGCCAAGGGAACGGGCUUGGGUAAAUCAGCGGGGAAAGAAGACCCUGUUGAGCUUGACUCUAAUCUGACUUUGUGAAAAUGACUUAGGAGGUGUAGGAUAUGUGGGAGCUCUGGUGAUCUUGAAAUACCACUACUCUUAAUGUCACUUUACUUACUCUAUCAGACUGUGGCCUGCUUCCCAGCAGGUUUUWGUUUCWAGGCAUCUCAUCUGACUUGUUGACUUGCGUAGAGGACGUAGUCAGGUGGGCAGUUUGGCUGGGGCGGCACAUCUGUUAAAGGAUAACGCAGGUGUCCCAAGGUAAGCUCAAAGGAGAACAGAAAUCUCWUGUKGAUCAGAAGGGGAAAUGCUUGCUUGAUUUUGCUUUUCAGUGUGAAGACAAACUGUGCAAACAUGGCCUAUCGAUCCUUUGGGUCUGAGGGAUGUUCAGCUAGAGGUGUCAG
rnacentral:rRNA from 1 species